rnacentral:tRNA from 1 species
UAGCUCAGUCAGUAAAGAAUCUGCCUGUAAUGCAGGAGACCCAGGUUAGAUUCCUGG